GUCCUCCCGCGAGCGCUGGAACCGUGUCACACAAGCAAGGGUACCUGCAAGAUCAAGAAAGCCAAAUUUCAGACUUACUAAGACCACUCUGAUCAAACAUUGAUGACUACUUUACAAUACAAUAGUGAACUCUUCGUCUUCCCCCCCAGCAAUAAAUGGAUCUUGCCAGAGAUAAUGUCAACGUCGGCGAUCCGGUUUCAGAAGAAAGUGGCACAGCCCAAGUUUCCUGGAAGUGAUAACGACCUCUCCCAACUCUGCGAGCGACGCCAGCAGGCACAUGUGAGGAGCACGUUGUCGGUCAUUGUCACAUUGGCGGUGGUCUUCGGUUUACGACGGUAUCGACAUAUGACGUUUUGAGGUUUCCAAGGGCAUGCGGUUUACAAGCCUGGCAGGAGAAGGGCCACACAGUGACUGCCGUGCCUCCUGUUUUUUUAUUUGAUUGCUUUAUAUCCAUGACUUAUGUUUUUCAUACACUUUUCAUUCUUCAACAGACUUUCGUUCCUUGAAACCAAGAAGGGGCCUUUGGUGCCAUCUUGUGGCAUUUUAGAGGGCACAGAAACUGCGAAAUACUGUACGCUAUAUUUUACAUAAAUGCCACAAUGACAUGGCAUUACAGUAGAAAACUGGUGGCGUUCCGCAAGGCUUGCUACCAAGUACAUUUUUUUUUUUUUUUUUUACACAAGUUACUGUUUUUUUUCUGACUUGGCUAUUGUGUUAGCAUCGUGCUUGUGAUAGACUACGGCGUUUUUUGACUAGCGUCUGGAUUCGGUUAGGUUGCGGGGUGCAUAAAACAGGAUAUGCACGUGGUGGGCAAUAAGUUCCCAUGCCCUCAUCAUUGGCAUGAAUGUUGAAAAAUUUGGGGUGUUUUUAAAUCAUGAUUUUGAGCCGCUCCCUUUUCAGACGGGAAUGAUAUUACACGUAUGCCCUAUUUAUUUGUAUAUUUAAUCAACACAGGAUGCAGCAAUACACCCACACACAAUAAUCACAAUACAUUUACCCAAAAGCUUUAUGCUGAAUGUUCUCAAAUGUUUUGUUUUUUUUUUUUGACAAGGCCAAGCCUGAUUAGCUUCUUGUCAGUGAUCAAGAUUAACUGCAGCUGCUGGUUGCUCUUCGCCAACAU